UCUCUCCUCUCUCUCUCCUUCCGCGCGACUUGGCCGUGCGACCCUUCGCCUUCUCGGCGACGGCCCGGCCACCACAGGCCGAGCUGAUCUCCUCCGUGGGUACCAUCGGGUCCACCUCCCUCUCGCCGUCAAAACCUGACCGACCUCCACCCUUGGGCCGCCCUGAGCUGAUCGGAAAACCAUGUUUUCCGACGGAGCUUCGUCCGAGUCCACCCGAUUUUCCAGCUCGAAUUUCUCCUUCGUUUCUCACCAAAUCGAUCGAGUAAGGCACAAGAGGUCCAAGCGACCCGCAGGAGGGACCUUCAAAGGGUCUAGUUAGCUCGGACCAUCAAGUUUGAGAACUUUACCAGAGGAGAUAGCAGCAAAGCUUCAGAUUUACCGAGAUGCAGUGAGUUAUUAGAUUUUUCUUAAAAUAGUUUAUUUUAAAACCACCGUGUACCCAUUUAUCUUUGGUGAUUACCCACAGUCGGACCGAUGUCUAUGGACAUCCAGUCUGAUUUCAGUUACGUCAGUGCACUUGACUUUGCCUCACGAGUUUCGGGGACGCUCGGACCGUGAGUGCCAGGAUUUGCGGCUCG